UACGAACCGUGCGAACGUUGUUCGGAAUCACUGGGCUUAAAGGGCGCGUAGGCGGUCUGCCGAGUCCGUGGUGAAAUCCUCCCGCUCAACGGGAGAACGGCCCCGGGUACUGGCGGCCUCGAGGCGGGUAGGGGCGUGCGGAACACUGGGUGGAGCGGUGAAAUGCGUUGAUAUCCAGUGGAACUCCGGUGGCGAAGGCGGCACGCUGGACCGGAUCUGACGCUGAGGCGCGAAAGCCAGGGGAGCGAACGGG
rnacentral:rRNA from 1 species